GGAUGCGAUCAUACCAGCACUAAAGCAUCGGAUCCCAUCAGAACUCCGAAGUUAAGCGUGCUUGGGCGAGAGUAGUACUAGGAUGGGUGACCUCCUGGGAAUUCCCCGUGUUGCAUUCC
rnacentral:rRNA from 1 species